rnacentral:lncRNA from 1 species
CGAGAGGGAGAGCUUGGAGUUCUCUGACCCGAACGACACCGCCACCUGACACCGUGACCCGGCCACAACUCCGGCGUCCGGCCACCCCACGGCGGCGCACGGGCACCACGUUUUUCAUCUCGCUGUCGCCGUCACGCCUGUGUUCUUUGAUCGUCCAUGCACCGGACGAGGAGGGAGAAUCGACGGUGAGAAGGUCCAACUGUUCCGACGAAUUGCAGCGAUUUCCGGCCACCG